GAUGAACGCUGGCGGCGUGCCUAAUACAUGCAAGUCGAGCGAACAGAUAAGGAGCUUGCUCCUUUGACGUUAGCGGCGGACGGGAGAGUAACACGUGGGUAACCUACCUAUAAGACUGGGAUAACUUCGGGAAACCGGAGCUAAUACCGGAUAACAUUUGGAACCGCAUGGUUCUAAAGUGAAAGAUGGUUUUGCUAUCACUUAUAGAUGGACCCGCGCCGUAUUAGCUAGUUGGUAAGGUAACGGCUUACCAAGGCGACGAUACGUAGCCGACCUGAGAGGGUGAUCGGCCACACUGGAACUGAGACACGGUCCAGACUCCUACGGGAGGCAGCAGUAGGGAAUCUUCCGCAAUGGGCGAAAGCCUGACGGAGCAACGCCGCGUGAGUGAUGAAGGGUUUCGGCUCGUAAAACUCUGUUAUUAGGGAAGAACAAACGUGUAAGUAACUGUGCACGUCUUGACGGUACCUAAUCAGAAAGCCACGGCUAACUACGUG
rnacentral:rRNA from 1 species